rnacentral:ncRNA from 1 species
AUUUAUUACAGAAUGGGAGUGGGCCAACUUGUAUUAUUUGUGGAAUUUCUUAUCGAAAUUCUCUGCGUUGGAGCCCACCCCAACCUGCUCAUUAUUGUAAGCUGAAUUUCCAUAAGCUUCUAUGUUGGGACCCCCGACCAGAAUUGAAAAAACCUAGUUAUAAGCGCAUUUUGUUCGGUUAACUACAGCUAAUAUAACAUUGUGGAGCCUAUGACAUUGAUUUAU